rnacentral:tRNA from 1 species
CAAAGCGUAGCUUAACCCAAAGCAUCUUGCUUACACCAAGAAAAUAUCUGUUCGACCCAGAUCGCUCUGA